rnacentral:lncRNA from 1 species
GGGAGGUAUGAAGAGCAGCUGGAUCACUCCCUGAUCUAUUCCCUCAAGCUCCUGAGGCGAUCUAUCUUCAGCUGGACGAAAAAGCCCUGGAAUUCCAUCAAUCCCUGCCUCUACCUCGCGCCUUUCCUGGAUGUGGUGAGAUCGGACGAGACAGGCGCCCCAAUCACUGGCACGGCUCUCAGCGCGGUCUACAAGAUCCUCACCUCGGAUGUGUUUGAUCUCCGGACCAGCCAUGUCGACGAGGCGAUGCAUGCGAUCGUCGAGUCCGUGACGAGCUGCCGGUUUGAGGUCACGGAUCCGGCGUCCGAGGAGGCUGUGCUCAUGAAGAUCUUGCAAGUUCUUCUGGCUUGCAUUGGCGGUGAUAUGGGGGCAGUGCUCGGGCACAGGGAUGUUUGCAACGUUGUCAACACGACCUUUCGGGUGGUUCAUCAGGCCGGGAACAAGAGUGAGCUCCUCCAGCGCGUGGCCAGGCACACCAUGCACGAGCUCGUGAGAGCCAUCUUUGGGCAUCUCUCCAGCAUGGAUCCUCUCGCCGGGAACAAUGGUUUGCUUGUUCCAUGGAGCAACGUCGAGAACAAUGUCGGUGUUGUAAGUUCCUCGUUCUCCUCUUUUUUUUCUUUGCUUGGUUUGUUUCGUUUGUUUUCUUCCUCUUGUCCGCUGUGAAUUCUUCUUUCUCUUUUUGCUGAAUUUCUAAGACCGUCCCUUUCUUCUUUGCUCAUUUCCAAUUGACUUUUACAGUUUCCUCUCGAUCGUCUCUUUCUCUCUUUUUUAUUCUCAUUUUUUCGUUUGCACAGAUUCGCUAUCAUCAAGGACUACAGCAGCAGCAACAGCAAAUCUUGUCUCAUCUAAGUCUUGGUUUGUAGAAACUCUUUGUUUUCUCGUAUGAUUUUCACGAGCUUUUCUUGCUUUGCUUUUCUUUUCUUCUUUGUGUAUAGCGCAACAAUGUGGACUUGUUAAGAAGCCCAGAGGGGAGUUGACGGAAGAAGAGUGGCGAAUCGCUCGCGAGCAGUCGAUGGCGAGGAGGGACGCACUGCAUGGCUGUCCAAUUUGUCACGAAAUUUUUAUUCGUGGAGACCAGGUAAGUAAGUGGUCUCUUGCAAAAUGGCCACAAUCUUUAGUUUUCUUUUAUUUUCUUUCUUUCUUUGCAGCUUUUACUCAGCUGCUCUCAUAUCUUUCACAAGGUUUGGAGCUCUUCACGGAUGGUCUUUUAGUGCCACGGAAAUCACAUCAGGGUGCCAAUAUUUGCAGCAAUGCUUGAAACGUUUUGAGAAGUUCUCAAGGCAACGCUGCUGCCCGGUGUGCCGGACCGAGCACUAUCAAACCAUGGCCGUGAGGAUACCAUCGACUUUGUACAAGAACUUCUUUGCAACAAGGCAUGGAAAUUCCUUGUUGCUUUUAUGAUCAAAGCGAAGUGUUUUUUUUUUUUUCCGAAGGAUACAGACGGCGUACAGGGCUUACAAGUGUCGGAGAGACUACGCUGAGUACAAAUGGAGACAUCCACCUGAAGAUCCAGGCAAACGAAAGGAAUGGUUUGCAAAAAAGGUAGUUUUUUUCUUUUUGCAUAUUUCUUUUCUCUCUAACCUGUGUGAGCAUCAGCUUGAAUCGGCUUCAAACAGACUGCUGGAUCAAAUGGCUGUAGACGAAGACAAUGUGAAGCUCCUCUUGGCCAGCAUCGACAACACUCUGGCCAGUAGUAAGCAGAUUUACGAUGUUCUUGGCAGCAGAGAUCAAACGAAGGAGGUGGACAGUUUAAAUCUUACUGAAGAAAGCGAUCUUAAUUGGCACCAAGUGAUCGAAAAGGUACGUUCUUUCUUGCAUCUAUCUCAAGCUUAUCAUUAUUUUCCAGGCUAUUGAGAGAUAUGACAUUGAUCGUUCCAUUUGCAUAAUGCCGCUGCAAAAGGAUGGAGGAUCCAACCUUAGCCUGCUCAGCUGCAGCCACUUAUUCCAUAGCCAUUGCAUCUCGGAGUUUGAGGCGUUCCAUGCAUCGGCAGAGCUCUUAUGCCCGAUUUGUAGAACCAUGUAAAAGAGGUUCGACUUGUAGCAAUUCGAUACUCAGAAAGAAAACACUCCUUUUGACAUUUAAGAAUGAGAAAUUACAUGACUUAACAGGAACUUCAAACUUGGCUGAUAACCAAAAUUUAAUUCAGGAUUGGUUGACAAGCAAAUUUAAUUCUGGCUUGGAACGUGAAAAGGUGGUCCUGGGAUGUGAAAUGGUGGAAAACUGGAAGGAGGGAAAUGGGAACCAGGGUGAAAUGGUGGAAGAUGGCCGGUCCUGGAAUGAAAGGGGGAAAAUUGAAUGGUGGGAACUGGCCACCAGGUGCUCUUGGAAUAGAAGGGGGAAAAUGAAAUGGAGAAAAUAUGUAAAUGGCAACAUUAAUGUUAUAAUAAACAACCAUGAAAGAAAGAAAGUAAUAUAGCUUUCUUGCAUGAUAAUAUAGUUAUAAAAAUAAAAGAAUGAAAAUGCAACUUAAAUCAUAUCAAUAUAGUUAUAAAACUUAAUUUUGAAGCUUGAGAGAUGGGAUUGUGAUGCAAGUGGUGUUAGACCACCGGUGUGACCAAGGUAAAGGGGCAUGGCCUUAGUGUAACGGGCUGAUAUGUCGGUGGUACCUUAGGGUGUCAGUCAUGGGAUCGGACACGUGAAGCACUUGGAUCAAGUGCAAAGGUUGAGUGGUGGGGACGCCAUUCUCGGGGCUAGCAAGCCCAAGUCUGAAAUAGGACUUAUGGAGGUUGUGAGUAAGACUCCUCCAAGUGGUUAGAGGUGUGGUUAAGUGACUAAAGUAGAAUGGAAAAUUUAGUCGCUUACAACAUAGUUUUUACCUAUAGUGAUUUACUAUAGGAUAACCAUGAAAUAAAAUUUAAACCUUCUAUGUGCCAUGUGUCAUAUGCCACAUGUCUAAGGACAAUAGUGUGGAACCUAAGUUUCAAAGCCUUGGGCUACUAAAUGAAGGAAUGGAGCCAAACUCCUAAGCAUGUAACAAAGGAGCGAAGGUACUAAAGCACAUAAUGACUCUCGAGCAUAUAGCCCAAGGAGUGAAAAGACAAAAGCACAAAGUGAUUUAGAAUAGUCUUAGAACAUCCAACAUCCUAAUGUUAGAAUCAACAUGUCAAACGGAGCUAAAUAAAAUCUCCCCCCCCCCAAUUUGAACAUAUCAAUGGUCUGAGGAUAGGGGUAUUCCAUUAACUAACAUAGUGUGGAGCUUGGGUUUAAACCCAAGCUAAACAUAGAACAAAGAUAUACAUAUAAGUAAAAGUUAAAUUAUACUUUAGAUUAGUUAAUCAUGCCUGAUAUACCCACUAUCCCUAUUAUACAUUUGGAAAGCACCCCCCCACCAUCCCUUUAGGAACACGUUUGGGCCUUCACCUUUAGCCACCUUUAAUACCAGGAGUUAGUCUUUGGGACUAAUUCGAAACUUACUAAAUAUGGAAUUGCAUUAAUUUGUGAAUUUUGGCAUGGGAUGAACACCAUUGUGUUUAGGACAAUUUUUACAUUCCGUAGAUAUGCCAAAUUAGCAAAUCUAAACACUUUCCAUAAAUAGCAAUUAAAACCAAAUAGUACUAACACAAUGUGCAUAAUAGCAAGGGUGUUUGGCAAAUACAGUAAGCUAUCAUCCAAUAAUAUUAAGGGACUAGUCUCAAUAUGAAAGGGUUUUUGUCAAGCUAGUGCAAGAUAGAACAAAAGAGAACUAAGAGCUAGGCCAAAUAUGCUCAGUAAGAAAACAUAAAAAUUCUUACCUGAUGUUCAUUUGGCUAAAUAUAGGUGAUAAGCCUAGUUUAUUAACACUUAAACAAAAGGAACUAAUAAAAGGUCCAGUAAUACUAAAUUCCUACCGUUGUAGCAGUAAAGAAAGAAUAUUCAAAAGGACUAACCGAUAAGUAACUUUUAAUACCUACAGUCACAUUUGCAACAAAGAUAAAAAGUUAACUAAUGAAUAUCAUUGUUAUUAGAUAUUGCUUACACUUUGGACUUGCUAACUAGUUUAAAAAUUCAUUUAAUGUUCCAUAUAAACAAGUGUAACAUGUUUACACUCUUGUGAUAUCGUAGAUAAAUUAAUCAUCCAAAUCUUAGAGAUUGAUGUUAAGAAUGUUAGUCUAGCCAAUAUAUUUGCUUUAAGGUUAGUGAAAAUACAUUGCAAAAAAAAUUAGAAAUUAUACAUAGAUGAGGCUAUAAUGGGAAAAUAUGUAACACGUUUGGAUUAAGAGCUCUUGAUGGAAUGGUGGAAUGUGGCUUGAGGGUGGCCAAGCAUAUCCUGGAUGGUGAGGAGAUGCAGCAUGAGGAACCUGAGUUUGUAAGCUUUUUCCUGCUGAAUCAAGUAGAAGAGCAUGCUCCUUCAGCAACGUUCGGCUGCCACUCACUUGCAAUGCAUUGAGAAAGAUAAACACUUUAAAGAUAAGCAUUGAAAUGAUUUGAAAAGCCAUCACAACUCAAAUGCUUUCAUCUAAUCACUCAAUUUAUAUUGGAGUCCAAUGAGUUUAGACCACUAACUUAAUUUGGCUAUUAUUAUUUGAUUAUUUGGUUGUUCCAAAUUCUACUCUUUAUUGAUCCUGUUUUAUUAUUCUAGAUAUGAUAUUGAUUAUAAUUCCCCUACUAAAGGAUGGAGCUAGAUAUAUCACUAGAGAUAUACUUAAACUGGGAUCAAACAAUGACAAUAAUCUAUCCUCCAGCCAGAGUAGAAGUUUAGAUCAAUAUCAGAGUGAACCAUGGUUCCAUGUUUCUUCUUGCAAUCCUCAUUGAGCACUGUUUCAGACAUGGAAGGAUUGGAACGUGAGUGGAGUUCUUUGAAUCCUUCUGUAAGGUGUCCAUCAUCGUUUGUAAUGCAUUAGUUUGAAUCUAUAAACGUCGCCUUUCCCUUUGCCGCUAUCUUCUGGGUGGGCUUAACAAACUUAAAAUCGGAGCAUUUCUCCAGCCCACCACAUCCCUGUAAGAAUUUUGUUACCACUGGAUUAAAUAGCGAAGUGAGAACCACGUGAAGUGCCAUGGCAGUGAAGCUAUGGAGCACCAGCAGAGUUACAAAGAGUAGAAACAUUUUUCCUGGGCGACGACAAAGAAACUUAAGAAUGAUCAGGUAAGUCACCAGGUUAUAAGCAUUACCAUCUAGGCAAAUUUGCAAUAGUUUGACACAUGGUACAAAAAUCAAUAGUUAGAACCAUCCUGGAUUAGAAAAUUCCAAAUCUAACCUAAAUAAAACUAUAAUACUAAAAAUAAUUAAAGGCUCAAUGUCUUGAUCUCAAGCCUUUUUAUGAAUCCAAGUUUUUUUUUUCUUUAUUUUAGGCAACUUGGACAAGAUUGAGGCAUUAGCAGAGCGGUAGAUUUUGUAAGAUUAGUAAGAGAAACAUACUUAAGCUGGAAUCAAACAAUGAUAGCCCAAGUUUAGAUUAAUAUCAGCGUGAACCAUGGCUCCAUUUGUUUUCUUGCAAUCCGCAGUGAGCACUGUUCCAGACAUGGAAGGAUUGGCAUGAGUGGAGUAAACUGUCUUUGAAUCCUCAUCAUUUGUGAGGCAAUUGUUUGGAUCUGCAAACGUGCCAUCCCGUGAAUUGCACUGCUAUGGAAUACGCAACUUUACCUCCAGAUAAAGUUCGAGAUAAUAGCCGCCAUUGAAAUAUAAGCAAAGGUGUGCUGCUGCCGUGGUUUGCAAGGGUUUAUUGGGUGAAGGCGGUGGAGGCACUCUGCCAAGUUCUUGUCUUUAGGCAUUGUGUUGGAUUGAAUCGGUAGGCUCCCGGAUACAUAGAAAAGGUCAGCGGGUCAUUUCAAAGACGCCCAGCUUCUUGUUUUUUUUUUUUUUUUCUUUCUUUUUUCCGAGAUGGCAAUGACACUCAGCUCGAUUCAAGGAGCUGUUCGGCAGGCCUUUGCAUGACUAUAUUUUGUGCGUUUGUGACUGGAGCGUCGCAGGACUUCAUCCUCAAGAUCGAGAACCUCUUGGAGCUGGACAAAGCAACAUGGAUAAGCUAUGGGGGUUAAUUAAGACUCCGAAGAACCUCUCAGCAACAGGUGAUGAUAGGGCAGAUGAUGGCUGCUCCAUCAGCCCAAAGGCGUAAACCACCCAGUUCAUUUGUGCUCGGAUAGGAGUAACUAGAGGAGCAAGAAGAUGGCAUAUGUAAGACUAUCCGUACAGGAGAUUAGCAUAUGAUCCAUAAAGGUCGUUUUAUAAUAUAGGUCAAAGUUAGGUCUUUCGUGGUUUACAUUUACCCUUAUUAACAAGAUUUUCUCUUACGCGGAAUCGAACCUGGACCAAGUCCCUCCUAGGGUGGAGGGAGCUGUGGGAGCUGCCACAGGGGCAAGAGCAGGCGCAGGGCUGGGGCGCCGCGAUGGCGAAUUCUCGCAGCGCUGCCCGGCGGCGGCGGGAGAGCGGCGCAUUGGCGUGUAUGAUCUCCGCCGAGGUAGGCGCAGUGCUGGCCACAAUGCGGCGCAACAGCCGCUGGGCCGGGAGGUAUGAAGAGCAGCUGGAUCACUCCCUGAUCUAUUCCCUCAAGCUCCUGAGGCGAUCUAUCUUCAGCUGGACGAAAAAGCCCUGGAAUUCCAUCAAUCCCUGCCUCUACCUCGCGCCUUUCCUGGAUGUGGUGAGAUCGGACGAGACAGGCGCCCCAAUCACUGGCACGGCUCUCAGCGCGGUCUACAAGAUCCUCACCUCGGAUGUGUUUGAUCUCCGGACCAGCCAUGUCGACGAGGCGAUGCAUGCGAUCGUCGAGUCCGUGACGAGCUGCCGGUUUGAGGUCACGGAUCCGGCGUCCGAGGAGGCUGUGCUCAU